UGGGUGGUAGCUUAGUGGUAUAGCACUUACCUAGCAAGUGUGAGGCACUGGGUUCAAUCCUCUGGACCAAUUAA
rnacentral:tRNA from 1 species